rnacentral:rRNA from 1 species
UACGAAGGGGGCUAGCGUUGCUCGGAAUCACUGGGCGUAAAGCGCACGUAGGCGGCUUACUAAGUCAGGGGUGAAAUCCUGGAGCUCAACUCCAGAACUGCCUUUGAUACUGGUGAGCUUGAGUCCGGAAGAGGUGAGUGGAACUGCGAGUGUAGAGGUGAAAUUCGUAGAUAUUCGCAAGAACACCAGUGGCGAAGGCGGCUCACUGGUCCGGUACUGACGCUGAGGCACGAAGGCUAGGGGAGCAAACGGG